UUUCAAACUUAUUUCAAAGUAAAUUUGACUGUCGCACUCUUAAUUUGGAUCAAGUUUUGUUUCUGUUUCUGCCAGCGAAACAAUCAAUGGAUUGAAGAAAACUUUUGGUGAGCUCAUUACCUCGCGUUAUACGAACGUAGCGUGGCCUCCAAGAACGUUCAAUACCAGUGGACUAUUUUUGGUGGGAUUGUGGGAUAGGAAGUGGCUAUUCUAAGCAGAUAAGCUCGAUAUGGUUGACGCCCUGAAAGAGACAAUUCAGUGCCUUGUUGCUGACAUGUGGGCCCGAUUGUUGGAGAAAGAGGUCGAAUAAAUUACAGCCAGCUUGAAAUCAAUUUUGAAACAUAAUGACGCACCUUUAUCUUUGUAACAAAGCAUGACCAUGAAAUGGCAGUAAAUUAAAUUUCUUCUCGAAAACCACAUAUCUACAAAAACCCUUUACUUGCACAUUUUUUUGUAAUAAAAACUCAUCUUAGACUAAAUAAAGGGUUAAUUAAAUGUA